UUUUGCUGGAUAUCCCUGCCUACCUGAGGCCUUCCAAAGCUCAGUUGUCCUAGAGCCUCAUCCGUGGCCUUGGGCAUCUCCAGAGGAAGGAAUCCACUGUUUCUCUGGACAGCAGUGCCAGCUCCUCAUCUCUCUGUAAAGAGAUUCCUCCCAGCUCAGCUCCUGCUCAGAGGAUUGACACCAUGGGCUGCUUGGGACAGUGAUCAGCUGAGUGUCAGAACCCUCCAGGAACAGACUGCUUAUGUGAGCCCCGUGGGGAUCCUCAUCGUAGAGCUUAACGCACACUGCAGCUCCUGAUGCUUGAACAAUCAAAGUCCAGCAUUAUCUGUUCUCACAGCACACAGAUCUUCUUGCAGUCACCAUCAGUUUCUGCAGACACCUUUUGUUUUCCUGCCCAUCUCCCUACACCACGCGUUCCAUCAGCCCCCUGUGAUGUGCAGGUCAUGGCAUGGUACAAAUCUGUAUCUGGUCUCCAGGUUCUGAUCUUCAGUUGUUCCCUUUGAGCUGUGGCCAUUCCUCUGCACAUCAAAGUUUCCUUUUCAUAGGAACCAAUGGAUUUCCAGAAACUCACAUGUGCUGUGGAUACAUCAGUAGUGACUCAGAAUGCUGAAGGCGGUUUCCUACAGUCUCUCCUCAGCACCUUUUAAACUGCUUUGCUAGCUUCUUGUUCAGAUUAUCCUCAUAUCAUACCACAGGAAAAUGUCUGUUUAUUCUCCUAAAAACAGUUCCUAUACAUGCAAUCACUGCCUUGGAAAUUAUGGAAAAUUGUGUUGUUAUUGUUCAUCAGCAAUUAUAAUUCCAUUUACUUUCAGGAGUGCAAAAUGUAUGGGGCCAGGAGAGCUCAGCUGGAAUCAUCCCACCUCUGAAACCUCCCAGUCCAACUCCACACAGACAUACACACACAUUCACACUGAUAAUUACCUGCAUUUACUGAACAGGACAGGUAUGAGGAGUGGCAGGAUGUGCCUAGGAGCAUUGGCAAAGCAUGUUUUCUCUUUACCUAAGGUUGUGUUGGACCUAAAUACUUGCCUUGUGUAUAUUUGUGUAAAGCAUUGCUCUUUGCUCAGGAAUUAAACCUAAGUUGAAGGCAAACAGGCUGCUUACCAGCCAGGCAGGUCUGCUGGUUCUCCCCUUUGCUGAGUGGGCUGCCAGGCUCUGCUUUGGGGCUGUCCUGCUCCCUUUGUCCCCUGACUCAGCACAACCAGGGUCACACAACCUCUAUAAAGGGAGGAGUAGAUCAGAGAGGUGACUCAGGAUACCCCACUUCUCUCCCUUUCACAUGGCACCAGUUGCUUACUUCGCUAAAAACCGAGAGAAGGGAAGGAAUUAUUUCCCCAUGGUGUCAGUAAUCCCACGCCCCAAGGGCUGCUGACCCACACAGAGAAACCUGGUGCUCUGGGGCAGAGGGUUGAGCUGCAGCCACAGCUGCAUGGGGCCUUGUUCAGGAUUGCUGUGUGUUUGGAGGCACUGAUUUCAGCGAUUUGAAGGGCUCUGAUGAAAUGAUUCAGACUGCAAAAUAAAAUAACGCACCUGCUGAAGGGGAUUUCAGAAUAUGGCUUAAAAACACAACAGGCGAACCACACGUCACGGCCAGGAAACAGCAUCAGCCUUCAGGCACAUGAAAAGGGUGAACUCAAACAUUUGCUUUUGUUUAUUUCAGUGAAGGACUGGGAUGAAGUUUGGGGGAAGGGGAGGAGCUCACCCUCAGCAUGGCGUAAAGGCAGCAUAAAAAAUACUCUGACACACUGACCUCCACCAGCAGCACUGCAGACUCCAGCCUGUAUUUAAGUCAGUGCUAAUAUAAACUUCCUCCUCUUCUUUGGGUGCUUCUUUGGGCAACUCUGUUGACAAACUGCAGAGCAGAUAGAGAAGUGUGGGCUGUGGCUGUGCACCAGGAACUGAGUGGUUCUGAACAGCCUGAUGGCAGCACUGCCCAGCUGGACCCACUCACAGCAGCUCCUGGUGUGGGGCAGAGCUCUGUGCAGCCAGCCCUGGCUCUGCUGCUGCUGUGUAUUCACACUUGUCCAUUUUACAUUCAGAAUAACAGAAAUUAUUGCACUUCCUACUGUGAGGUUUGCUCUAAUUAAGUGGAGUCACAGCCCAUAGCAACUUCAGCACAGCCACUGCUUACACUGAUGUGCAACUUCUGCUUCCUAUCAGUGCACUGAGAUCAGCACAGGUGAGCUGCAAACAUGAACACUGCUUGUAUUAAUGAAGACUGUUUGGAACUGGGUAACGUUGUCAUGGAUGUGAAAGCCAUAAAAGCCACAAAUUUAAACAUCUCUGUGUACUUUCUGAUAUUCUGAAAAUGACAUUUACUUGCAGAAGGUCUGAGAAUUAAUAAAACAGACAGCGGGGAGAAAGAGCCAUCAGGCUGAUCCGAACUGUUGCCUUCAUGAUCCAUUUUUCAG